rnacentral:rRNA from 1 species
UACGUAGGGUGCGAGCGUUAAUCGGAAUUACUGGGCGUAAAGUGUGCGCAGGCGGCUUCGCAAGCUCGAGUGUGAAAUCCCCGAGCUUAACUUGGGAAUUGCGCUCGAAACUACGGAGCUGGAGUGUGGCAGAGGAAGGUGGAAUUCCUGGUGUAGCAGUGAAAUGCGUAGAUAUCAGGAGGAAUACCGAUGGCGAAGGCAGGUCUCUGGGCUGACACUGACGCUCAUGCACGAAAGCGUGGGGAGCAAACAGG